GGCCCCAUGGCUGAGCAGAUUAAAACUCCUGUCUAAUAAACAGGAAAUCCUGGGUUUGAGUCCCAGUGGGGCCU
rfam:Alligator mississippiensis ScZkoYb_400, whole genome shotgun sequence.